rnacentral:rRNA from 1 species
UACGUAGGGGGCUAGCGUUGUCCGGAUUUAUUGGGCGUAAAGAGCGUGUAGGCGGCCUGGUAGGUCUGCUGUGAAAACUCGAGGCUCAACCUCGAGAUGUCGGCGGAAACCAUCUGGCUAGAGUCCGGAAGAGGAGAGUGGAAUUCCUGGUGUAGCGGUGAAAUGCGCAGAUAUCAGGAAGAACACCUAUGGCAAAGGCAGCUCUCUGGGACGGUACUGACGCUGAGACGCGAAAGCGUGGGGAGCGAACAGG